GAGUGCCUUGCUCAGGAUCAUGGUGCUGGUAGUAAAUGGUAGUAAAUGGUAGAGCUCUGCCAUUUACUACCAGCACCAUGAUCCUGAGCAAGG
rnacentral:miRNA from 1 species